rnacentral:lncRNA from 1 species
GGGGCAGUAGAAUUGAUUACUCACAUAAGAAGCGAGGUCACCGCGGUGAAUUCCCACACCUAGAGAGUCCAAUACUUGAACACAUCGUUUCCCGGUGUGUAUAACCGUUAGAUACCAAUGAAAAUGAGUCAUGUUGAUUGGAACGAAUACCUACGGAGAAAGUUUAUCGUUGUUUUUAUACACGAACACACACACCCUCGUUAAGAUUGAUUAU